rnacentral:lncRNA from 1 species
GACUGACAUUUGAGUCAGUGGACUGGGAGAGGAAGAUUCACCCUCAGUGUGGCUGGGCACAAUCUAAUCAGCUGCCAGAGCUGCUAGAACAAAGCAGGCAGAAGAACUGGGGACUUAGAACUUUGGACUGCCUUUGAAUUUAAACAAGUGUUGGGAGCUUAACCAAGCACUGGAAAGUAGAGCUACCACCCCUCACCGUACCGCUCAGAACUGGCUAACCACAAAGAAGACGUUUCCUGCUCAAAUACCUGAUCACCACACCUACUCACCCAAUGCUCUGGUACCCAGCUUUUUCUUUUCCUGUUUACCUCGGUAUUAAAGAAAAGCCUUUCUGCCUGAACUCGGAGAUGCUUGUAGAUAUUACAGUCGGAGUGCACUCCCUAUUGCAAUACCCGCUUCUAUUGCAGCAGUCUUUUCAAAUACAAUUUCUUCUUCCCUAAGUUUGGAUUUUUUUUUUUUUCACCUGAAAAUCAUCACCAUUUUCAUUGAUUGCCAAGCUUUCUCUCAUCUCUACAUUCUACAGUUUUUGGUUCUGACAGCCUUUUUCUGCCAUACUACCCCAGUUACAAAUCUAACUACAGAAGCAUCUCAGGGGCAGGAUGAUUUUGUCACCAUGAAAAACUGUGUAAAUUGACAUGCUAGAGACAUGGAUAACCCUGGAAAACUAAAGCAGCGAAUGGUUCAAAAUUUACAGAUUCAACUUUCUAAAGCAAUGAUUUUUUGACUGACUUUUAAAAAAUUGGCUGCGUGUAUAUCUCCUAAUGCUUUCCCUCCCCCUUGCCCUCACCCCACGACAGGCCCCGAUAUGGGAUGUUCCCCUUCCUGUGUCCACGUUAUGCACAUGUACCCCAGAACUUAAAGUAUAAUAAUAAUAAAAAAAAUUGGCUGUGUUUUUACACAGUCUGAAGACAAUCUGAAAAUUGAAGUUGGCUUGAAAUUUAUAUUGGAUUAGCUAUGCUUUUCUGCUACAAUCAGCCACUAGCCUCACCACCACCAUGAACAAUGAUGCAUGUUUUCAAUUUUACGCCUCUAUUCCUUGCCUGAGAAUGUUUCCAUAUAACUUGUUAUUGUUUGACUUGGGGACUUAAUAAUCCAAAAGGAACAAGUAGAAGCACCAUGUUGUCAUGAAAAUAUCUCUAGGGUAGGAGUCACGAGACCUGGGCUCUAAUAUUGGCGUGCCAUUUAUUUAUGGUGAUCCUUGGUGGACACUUAAACUCUUCUGAGCUUCCAUUUCGUUAGAAUAAUUAAUCUUACUCCAUAUUUUAAGGACAUUACUUGUUUCACAUAUGUAUCUUAUAUCUUCAAUAGACUGAGAGUUGCCUCAGAGACUCUAUAGUACCCUAACUGCUUAAAAUAGCAAUAAACAUUUAAUUUAAUAGUUGUUCAAUAAAUACCUAUGAGUGUGUGACUUGAUGUGUAUCACUGUAAGCAAUACUAAAAUAAAUUCCACAA